CUGAUAUUAUAUAUCCAGGACAUGGCCCAGUAAUUCAUAAUGCUGAAGCUAAAAUUCAACAAUACAUUUCUCACAGAAAUAUUCGAGAGCAGCAAAUUCUUACAUUAUUUCGUGAGAACUUUGAGAAAUCAUUUACAGUAAUGGAGCUUGUAAAAAUUAUUUACAAGAAUACUCCUGAGAAUUUACAUGAAAUGGCUAAACAUAAUCUCUUACUUCAUUUGAAAAAACUAGAAAAAGAAGGAAAAAUAUUUAGCAACACAGAUCCUGACAAGAAAUGGAAAGCUCAUCUUUAGUUUCAGAUUAAAGAAAGCUUUGUUUUAUUUUGCUUUCAGAGAAUGGUAUGUUUUCUUAACUAUAGGUUAUUUUAUAGAGAAUAUAAAAGUAUAAAACAUUAAAAAUAACCCUAGAUAUACUUUAAAAUAAUGUUAUAUUUAUGCUAAAAUAUGUAAAUUACACUAUACAACCAUAUGAUAGGUUAUUUCUCUAACCUUGUCUUCUAACGUUUUACCAAAAAUUCAUAAUCUAAUAGUUUAUCAGUUUUCAAUAGAUUAAAUAAAAUGAUUACUUUAAAA
rnacentral:lncRNA from 1 species